CCAUCGCAUGAUUUUGUUGCGUACAACCUUCAAAUUUACUGUAAAGGAAGGGUCAACCACCUACAUUAAUUAAUUUGUGUGAACGAGGAUCAUGUGUGAUCAGUGGUGUCUUCAUCUUUUUAAUAACAAUUUGCUCAUAGAUAUACAUGCAUAUCUUAUUAUGAGCAUCUAUAUAAUGUAAAAACUAUGUACAUUACUCAAUUCUGUAGAACCAUCACUUAUACAUGCGUAUCCACCUCUAGAUAUAAAUUAAAUCACUCUAAGCAAAAAAAAAAAACAAAAAAAAACUGAUGCACUAGAUUUAGGAAGCAACUCAACCAAACAGAGUUGAUUGACCAUUAUAUUAUUAGCAAUUCAUAUAUGUCUACAUACGUGCCUUUAGAAUCAAGAAAUCCACUUCUCCACGGGACUAAACAAAAUGUGGCCCCAACAAGAACCAACCAAAAUAUUGAUGAUGAGAUGCGUCCAUAGUUGAGCAGGACACCGCCAUAAAUUUCAGAGGGACUUUUAGAGCGUUUCUUCCCACCACUUCGAAAAUCGAAAUCCUUUGGAAAAGCUGCUACUAGAAUUGAACGGUUUUCUUUCAAAUUCUACCAGAAUUCGCGG
rnacentral:lncRNA from 1 species